AGUGAACGCUGGCGGUAGGCCUAACACAUGCAAGUCGAACGGCAGCACAGAGGAGCUUGCUCCUUGGGUGGCGAGUGGCGGACGGGUGAGGAAUACAUCGGAAUCUACUCUGUCGUGGGGGAUAACGUAGGGAAACUUACGCUAAUACCGCAUACGACCUACGGGUGAAAGCAGGGGAUCUUCGGACCUUGCGCGAUUGAAUGAGCCGAUGUCGGAUUAGCUAGUUGGCGGGGUAAAGGCCCACCAAGGCGACGAUCCGUAGCUGGUCUGAGAGGAUGAUCAGCCACACUGGAACUGAGACACGGUCCAGACUCCUACGGGAGGCAGCAGUGGGGAAUAUUGGACAAUGGGCGCAAGCCUGAUCCAGCCAUACCGCGUGGGUGAAGAAGGCCUUCGGGUUGUAAAGCCCUUUUGUUGGGAAAGAAAUCCAGCCGGCUAAUACCUGGUUGGGAUGGCGGUACCCAAAGAAUAAGCACCGGCUAACUUCGUG
rnacentral:rRNA from 1 species